rnacentral:rRNA from 1 species
UACGUAGGGUGCGAGCGUUAAUCGGAAUUACUGGGCGUAAAGCGUGCGCAGGCGGCUUUGCAAGACAGAUGUGAAAUCCCCGGGCUCAACCUGGGAACUGCAUUUGUGACUGCAUGGCUAGAGUGCGGCAGAGGGGGGAUGGAAUUCCGCGUGUAGCAGUGAAAUGCGUAGAUAUGCGGAGGAACACCGAUGGCGAAGGCAGCCCCCUGGGCCAAUACUGACGCUCAUGCACGAAAGCGUGGGGAGCAAACAGG